GGGGGUACUAGGUUUCGAUUGGUAAUCUGCCUGAAGCAACGAAGAUGCCUACACAUGCGAACGCUUAGGAUUAUCAAGACAGGGGUUCAAUUCCCCUUACCUCCAGUA
rnacentral:tmRNA from 1 species